UUUAAAUAGCCCUGAAUUUUCUGAGGUUGCCUUUUCUCCUCCUGUGCUUUGAUGCUUGCGUGUGUCUCUCCGGCAGCUUGUGGCCCAGCCACUGUCACUUCCAUAUGGCUUGCUAUACUGUGCUGCUUUUCUGCGUUUGAGAAACCAAGGAACCCGAGAGCAAACCCUUAUCUACUGGGGGGAGGCAGACAUGAAGGUGUCCAGCGAGCAGCGAGCGUGGGGAUGGCUGCAGCACGUCCUUUGCACCUGCAUCGACCUGCCCCUGGCAUUCACACCAGAUCCUUCCAUCGUCGACCAUGCUCUUUGCUGUCUCCAGAUGGACACACCUUCCUUAACUUGUGGUUCAUCCCUCACCCUACUGAAGGGCCGAUCAUGUUCAAAAUGCUUCCAGAGAAGGGGAAAGAGGAAAAAUGGAGAAAGUCAUGA
rnacentral:lncRNA from 1 species